GCAGUGCAAACGGAUACUUGAAGUCGCCUCAACACUACUUUAUCUGUAACAGUUUCGAGGGAAUUGUGAAACGAGCAGUCACUAUUGAAAAUAGAAAAAAGUUGAAGCCGCCGUGAUGCCGUGAUUCAACGAUGUUGAAGAUUGUGUAAUUUGUGUGGAGGCGAUGCAAAAUCCUUUCUCACCGCUCCUCUGCUCCUCUCCCCUAAAAGGCAAACAAAACCAAAACACGACACUCUUAAGCGACAAAACAGAUAUUCACCACACUCCGCCUCAUUUUGACGUUGAGCAGCACUUCUUGUAUUCAACACUUCGUAGCUUCGAGAAAAUUCUCAGAACAGCUGGCAAGUAAAUCGUUCGUUUUGCCGUGAUCUACUAAAAAAUAUGGCGACUAAUAAGAAGGACAAGCCAGCUGGAGCUGAGGAAGAAACUAAGACGGGCAGCGCUGAUGACUUUUGCCCCAUUUGCUAUGGUCCGAAAGUGGAACCCGUGGCAUUGCCCUGCAAACACACGUUCUGUAAGACUUGCAUGGAAUAUCUGGUUAAACAGAGGUCUUACUAUUUUGGUGAAAUUAUUUCUGAUCCAGUCAUGCGUUGUCCAGUGUGCCGCGACAGGUUUAGAUCAAAGAGCGCUGUUGCCACUCCCCCCCAGCCAUAGUUCUGAACACAUAUGUAAACACAUACAAAGUACAUAUGUAUGUAUACUCACAAAAGCCAAUUAAAUUUUGAUUAAUAAUUGUAA